rnacentral:rRNA from 1 species
CGGACGGGUGAGUAACACGUGAGUAACCUGCCUUACACAAGGGGAUAGCCGUUGGAAACGACGAAUAAUACCCUAUGAAACUAUCACUUCGCAUGAAGCGAUAGUCAAAGUGUUAGCGGUGUAAGAUGGACUUGCGUCUGAUUAGCUAGUUGGUGAGAAAAAAGCCCACCAAGGCAACGAUCAGUAGCCGGCUUGAGAGAGUGUACGGCCACAUUGGGACUAAGACACGGCCCAG